rnacentral:rRNA from 1 species
UACGUAGGGGGCAAGCGUUGUCCGGAUUUAUUGGGCGUAAAGAGCGUGUAGGCGGUUUGGUAGGUCCGUUGUGAAAACUCGAGGCUCAACCUCGAGCUGUCGGUGGAAACCGUGUGGCUAGAGUCCGGAAGAGGCGAGUGGAAUUCCUGGUGUAGCGGUGAAAUGCGCAGAUAUCAGGAGGAACACCGAUUGCGAAGGCAGCUCGCUGGAACGUUACUGACGCUGAGACGCGAAAGCGUGGGGAGCAAACAGG